rnacentral:rRNA from 1 species
UACGGAGGAUGCGAGCGUUAUCCGGAUUUAUUGGGUUUAAAGGGUGCGUAGGCGGAUCGUUAAGUCAGUGGUCAAAUUGAGGGGCUCAACCCCUUCCCGCCAUUGAAACUGGCGUUCUUGAGUGGAAGAGAAGUAUGCGGAAUGCGUGGUGUAGCGGUGAAAUGCAUAGAUAUCACGAAGAACUCCGAUUGCGAAGGCAGCUUACCAGUCUGCGACUGACGCUCAGGCACGAAAGUGUGGGUAUCGAACAGG